AUGAACGCUGGCGGCGUGCUUAACACAUGCAAGUCGCACGGAAAGGCUCCUGCUUGCAGGGGUACUCGAGCGGCGAACGGGUGAGUAACACGUGGGUGAUCUGCCCUGCACUUCGGGAUAAGCCUGGGAAACUGGGUCUAAUACCGGAUAGGACGAUGGUUUGGAUGCCAUCGUGGAAAGUUUUUUCGGUGUGGGAUGAGCUCGCGGCCUAUCAGCUUGUUGGUGGGGUAAUGGCCUACCAAGGCGUCGACGGGUAGCCGGCCUGAGAGGGUGUACGGCCACAUUGGGACUGAGAUACGGCCCAGACUCCUACGGGAGGCAGCAGUGGGGAAUAUUGCACAAUGGGCGCAAGCCUGAUGCAGCGACGCCGCGUGGGGGAUGACGGCCUUCGGGUUGUAAACUCCUUUCGCUAGGGACGAAGCGCAAGUGACGGUACCUGGAGAAGAAGCACCGGCUAACUACGUG
rnacentral:rRNA from 1 species